AAUUCUUGGAUCGGCGCAAGACGAACGACUGCGAAAGCAUUUGCCAAGAAUGUUUUCUUUAAUCAAGAGCGAAAGUCAGAGGUUCGAAGACGAUCAGAUACCGUCCUAGUUCUGACUAUAAACGAUGCCAACUAGCGAUCGGGGGGCGUUACAUUGACGACCCCUCCGGCAGCUUACGGGAAACCAAAGUCUUUGGGUUCCGGGGGAAGUAUGGUUGCAAAGCUGAAACUUAAAGGAAUUGACGGAAGGGCACCACCAGGAGUGGAGCCUGCGGCUUAAUUUGACUCAACACGGGAAAUCUCACCCGGCCCGGACACAGUGAGGAUUGACAGAUUGAGAGCUCUUUCUUGAUUCUGUGGGUGGUGGUGCAUGGCCGUUCUUAGUUGGUGGAGCGAUUUGUCUGGUUAAUUCCGAUAACGAACGAGACUCUGGCUUGCUAAAUAGUUACGCGACCAUCCCGGUCGGCGUUUAACUUCUUAGAGGGACAAGUGGCGUUUAGCCACACGAGAUUGAGCAAUAACCCCUAUUUCCACAAAGGAAUAAAUUUUAAAAUCCAAUCUACGUUCAGUUUCUAACAUAACACAUUUUUAUUUUUGUUUCUUUCGCUGCAGCGUUUAUCACCAACAAUUAAAAAAUACAUGUCAUAUAUAUAUAUACCAAAACAAAUAUGGUGUUAACUGAAAAUCCAACAAUUAACCAAAGAAAUAAAAAAUACUACAACAAAACAGGAAGGCACCAAAAAAACC
rnacentral:ncRNA from 1 species